rnacentral:misc_RNA from 1 species
GUGCAACUUCUGUGGUAGUAGUAAUAGUAGUGGUGGUGGUAUUGGGUUUGAGAAGAAAGCCUCCAAGGCCAAUUUCAUUGCAGGAUACUUGCAGGUUGUUUGCAUUAUAAAUGAGAAGAUCAUCCUCUUCAUUUUCAGACAAGAUGGAAGGAUCAUUCUUCAAAAUAUUGCAAAGCUCCCUUUGAAGUCUUUCAAUGGGUGUAAGACAGCGUUGAACAUUUACAGACCUCUUUCUUGAAGGUAUACUAGACUUCCACAAGCUUCCCUGGAUUAAUCCACCUGGACUUUCACCUCCAUUCUCUUCUUCUUUUACAUUGUAGCAGCUCUGGGAACAUGAUGUUGCAGAUUCUGAG